rnacentral:rRNA from 1 species
AACGAACGCUGGCGGCAUGCCUAAUACAUGCAAGUCGAACGAACACUUCGGUGUUAGUGGCGCACGGGUGCGUAACGCGUGGGAAUCUACCCUUGGGUUCGGAAUAACGUCUGGAAACGGACGCUAAUACCGGAUGAUGACGUAAGUCCAAAGAUUUAUCGCCCAGGGAUGAGCCCGCGUAGGAUUAGCUAGUUGGUGAGGUAAAGGCUCACCAAGGCUACGAUCCUUAGCUGGUCUGAGAGGAUGAUCAGCCACACUGGGACUGAGACACGGCCCAGACUCCUACGGGAGGCAGCAGUAGGGAAUAUUGGACAAUGGGCGAAAGCCUGAUCCAGCAAUGCCGCGUGAGCGAUGAAGGCCUUAGGGUUGUAAAGCUCUUUUACCCGGGAUGAUAAUGACAGUACCGGGAGAAUAAGCCCCGGCUAACUCCGUGCCAGCCGCCGCGGUAA